rnacentral:pre_miRNA from 1 species
UCAUACAUAUUUGUAUGGAAUGGGAUCGUUUGCCUAAGUUUGCCACUAGGGGCGCUGUUCCAACUGCAUACCAAAUUGGGCUA